UAUUCUUGAGUUUGUUGUCCAGCGUUUGAAAGGUCCUUGGAAUUUGGGUGAUAUUAUACUGUCUGAAAACUAUGUGUGUGAGAUGAGCUAGAAGAGUUUGUUUUGUGUUCUUAUAGAUUAUCAUUGUUACAUUAGCAUCGUAUAAAUUAUAAACUAUUGUUUUCUUGAGUUUUUUUUAAGUACAUACAAGCUAAGCUUAUGCGAUGAUUCCAUUUACUCUCUUUCUCUUAUUAGCUGCGCAAAAGUAACCUUUUCUAUUGAUGCUAUGCAAAGUGAGACUGUGAUGAGUUUGCUUGUGAAAACUUGUGUGUGUUUUUUUCUUUUAGUUUCUGGAAGGACUUCCAUAGUUUCAGGACUAC
rnacentral:lncRNA from 1 species